rnacentral:piRNA from 1 species
AGAUUGAAAGUGAUGCUCCAGAGCC